rnacentral:rRNA from 1 species
GUGAGUGGCGAACUGGUGAGUAACACGUGGGAAACCUGCCCAGAAGCGGGGGAUAACACCUGGAAACAGAUGCUAAUACCGCAUAACAACUUGGACCGCAUGGUCCGAGUUUGAAAGAUGGCUUCGGCUAUCACUUUUGGAUGGUCCCGCGGCGUAUUAGCUAGAUGGUGAGGUAACGGCUCACCAUGGCAAUGAUACGUAGCCGACCUGAGAGGGUAAUCGGCCACAUUGGGACUGAGACACGGCCCAAACUCCUACGGGAGGCAGCAGUAGGGAAUCUUCCACAAUGGACGAAAGUCUGAUGGAGCAACGCCGCGUGAGUGAAGAAGGGUUUCGGCUCGUAAAACUCUGUUGUUAAAGAAGAACAUAUCUGAGAGUAACUGUUCAGGUAUUGACGGUAUUUAACCAGAAAGCCACGGCUAACUACGUGCCAGCAGCCGCGGUAAUACGUAGGUGGCAAGCGUUGUCCGGAUUUAUUGGGCGUAAAGCGAGCGCAGGCGGUUUUUUAAGUCUGAUGUGAAAGCCUUCGGCUCAACCGAAGAAGUGCAUCGGAAACUGGGAAACUUGAGUGCAGAAGAGGACAGUGGAACUCCAUGUGUAGCGGUGAAAAGCGUAGAUAUAUGGAAGAACACCAGUGGCGAAGGCGGCUGUCUGGUCUGUAACUGACGCUGAGGCUCGAAAGUAUGGGUAGCAAACAGGAUUAGAUACCCUGGUAGUCCAUACCGUAAACGAUGAAUGCUAAGUGUUGGAGGGUUUCCGCCCUUCAGUGCUGCAGCUAACGCAUUAAGCAUUCCGCCUGGGGAGUACGGCCGCAAGGCUGAAACUCAAAGGAAUUGACGGGGGCCCGCACAAGCGGUGGAGCAUGUGGUUUAAUUCGAAGCUACGCGAAGAACCUUACCAGGUCUUGACAUACUAUGCAAAUCUAAGAGAUUAGACGUUCCCUUCGGGGACAUGGAUACAGGUGGUGCAUGGUUGUCGUCAGCUCGUGUCGUGAGAUGUUGGGUUAAGUCCCGCAACGAGCGCAACCCUUAUUAUCAGUUGCCAGCAUUAAGUUGGGCACUCUGGUGAGACUGCCGGUGACAAACCGGAGGAAGGUGGGGAUGACGUCAAAUCAUCAUGCCCCUUAUGACCUGGGCUACACACGUGCUACAAUGGAUGGUCAACGAGUUGCGAACUCGCGAGAGUAAGCUAAUCUCUUAAAGCCAUUCUCAGUUCGGAUUGUAGGCUGCAACUCGCCUACAUGAAGUCGGAAUCGCUAGUAAUCGCGGAUCAGCAUGCCGCGGUGAAUACGUUCCCGGGCCUUGUACACACCGCCCGUCACACCAU